GUCACGCCCUAAACGAUGUCAACUGGUUGUUGGGUGACUUGAUCACUUAGUAACGUAGCUAACGCGCGAAGUUGACCGCCUGGGGAGUACGGUCGCAAGAUUAAAACUCAAAGGAAAUUGAACGGGGGCCCGCACAAGCGGUGGAUGAUGUGGAUUAAUUCGAUGCAACGCGAAAACCUUACCUACCCUUGACAUGCCAGGAAUCCUGCAGAGAUGUGGGAGUGCCCGAAAGGGAGCCUGGACACAGGUGCUGCAUGGCUGUCGU
rnacentral:rRNA from 1 species